rnacentral:lncRNA from 1 species
UUGAAGUUAAUGUCCUCACAGUGAUAAUUUAUCACUGUGAAAAGGGAGAAACACGACUUAAGUAUGCAAGUAUUUAGACCCACGUUUGUUGUUGGCUUAUGUCAUGUUGUUACUGUCCUUCCAGCUUCCACUGAAAAGGACAGCUGAAAUCCUAAAACUAUGGAGUAUCAACACUGGAGAAAACCCAAGAGAUUGAAGCUUCUAAACUGAGCCAGUGCAAGAGAGGAGAGGAAGAGCCUGCACCAACUGCCCAAUCUCUGCACCACCACAACCCUGCCUUUUUGCCUCAUCCUCUGGAGCUGCCAUGUUGCAUGACUCCAUUCAUGCUGUUGUCAGCCAGCAGCCUGGGCUCCCGAAUUUACAGCAUCUGUGGUCCUCAGCUCUCUAGCGCACAUGCAUGUACUUGAGAAGCCAUGUGUCUUUCCAUCAUGAGGUUUAAAAUGGAUAUCGAAGUGGAAAAAGAAAACAGCGCAUUCUUGGCUCUGGGCUGUUACCAAAAGAGCAACUGUUGAGAUUACUGCAUGGGCAUUAUUUACUCUGCUCAUAACAGUGGAGGAAAAAAAUGUGAGCCAAAUUUCAAACUCAAGUUAGGCUCAUCAGGCCCUUUCAUUAUGCAGAGAUAAUUCUUUGCCAUGGCAGUAGAAUUGAAUUUGAGGAAUAGAGAUGAGAUUUGAAUUUUAAUUAAGCCGUUGCUGCUUGCUACCAAAUUUUGCUAGAAGCUCUCAUACCAUGGUCCUUUACUAAUCAGCC